AAAAACUCCAUACAAACUUGCCUAACCACCAUCUGCAGAAGCCCCAACAUGUUUCACUCAAUUCUCAGCUUCUUCAUGCCUCCUGAGGAAGCUAUUGAUUAUUUAUUAUUAUGUGAUACCGGGCAACACAGGCUGGGAGGAAGACGGGAGUGCAGGGGAGUUUUCAGCCUGUUUCGCUUCCAGAGGUGCAUAUACAAGAUUUGGAAUACGGACUGCCACAGCCGCAGCUCCCACCACAUCGCUUAACAAGGAGGCACCGUGGGAAGAAAACGGCAUUAGUGAUCUUCAGCUCUUC